rnacentral:rRNA from 1 species
AUUGAACGCUGGCGGCAGGCUUAACACAUGCAAGUCGAACGCAGUGGGGACGGGUGAGUAACACCUGGGUAACCUCCCAUCAGAGGGGAUAACACUUGGAAAAAGGUGCUAAACCGAUACUGAUGGAUGGACCCGCGGUGCAUUAGCCGGUGGGUGAGGUAACGGCUCACCAAGGCCACGAUGCAUAGCCGACCUGGGAGGGUGAUCGGCAACAGUGGGACUGGGACACGGCCCAGACUCCUACGGGAGGCAGAAGUAGGGAAUCUGCGGAAAUGGACGAAAGUCUGACCGGGCAACGCGGCGUGAGUGAAGAAGGUUUUCGGAUCGUAAACCUCUGUUGUUGGAGAAGCGGUAUCUAAACAGAAAGCCACGGCUAACUACGUGCCAGCAGCCGCGGUAAUAC